CAGCAGCCGCGGUAAUACGAAGGGUGCAAGCGUUACUCGGAAUUACUGGGCGUAAAGCGUGUGUAGGUGGUUGUUUGAGUCUGUCGUGAAAGCCCUGGGCUCAACCUGGGAAUUGCGAUGGAUACUGGGCGACUAGAGUGCGGUAGAGGAUAGUGGAAUUUCCGGUGUAGCAGUGAAAUGCGUAGAGAUCGGAAGGAACAUCUGUGGCGAAGGCGACUAUCUGGGACAACACUGACGCUGAGGCACGAAAGCGUGGGGAGCAAACAGGAUUAGAUACCCGCGUAGUCCCUGUCUCUUAUAC
rnacentral:rRNA from 1 species